UACGGAGGGUGCAAGCGUUAUCCGGAUUCACUGGGCUUAAAGGGUGCGUAGGUGGGCUGAUAAGUCAGUGGUGAAAUCCCCGAGCUUAACUUGGGAACUGCCAUUGAUACUAUUGAUCUUGAAUACCGUGGAGGUCAGCGGAAUAUGUCAUGUAGCGGUGAAAUGCUUAGAUAUGACAUAGAACACCAAUUGCGAAGGCAGCUGGCUACACGAAUAUUGACACUGAUGCACGAAAGCGUGGGGAUCAAACAGG
rnacentral:rRNA from 1 species